rnacentral:lncRNA from 1 species
UCUGGACUUUAUAUAGAAAAUGAAGAGUUACCAAAGUUUAUUCCAUGGAGUAUGCAGUUUUCCUGAAUCAAAGAGUUUGUCUCAGCACAGUGUCAAAAAACACAAAGAUUUAAAGCUCAUCCAACCAUCAAUUCAGAGCUGAUACAGGGACCUUGACUCUCAAGGCUGCUGAAUGGUAGGAUUAAACAAACAUUUUUAAAAGGGGGACUGUUCCUGCUACUGAAC